GGUAGUGGACUGGGGAUUUAGCUCAGUUGGUAAAGUGCUUGCCUCACAUGCUCGAGGUCCUGGGUUCAAUCCCCAGCACCACCA